AUUGAACGCUGGCGGCAGGCCUAACACAUGCGAGUCGAACGGUAACAGGAAACAGCUUGCUGUUUCGCUGACGAGUGGCGGACGGGUGAGUAAUGUCUGGGAAACUGCCUGAUGGAGGGGGAUAACUACUGGAAACGGUAGCUAAUACCGCAUAACGUCGCAAGACCAAAGAGGGGGACCCUCGGGCCUCUUGCCAUCGGAUGUGCCCAGAUGGGAUUAGCUUGUUGGUGGGGUAACGGCUCACCAAGGCGACGAUCCCUAGCUGGUCUGAGAGGAUGACCAGCCACACUGGAACUGAGACACGGUCCAGACUCCCACGGGAGGCAGCAGUGGGGAAUAUUGCACAAUGGGCGCAAGCCUGAUGCAGCCAUGCCGCGUGUAUGAAGAAGGCCUUCGGGUUGUAAAGUACUUUCAGCGGGGAGGAAGGGAGUAAAGUUAAUACCUUUGCUCAUUGACGUUACCCGCAGAAGAAGCACCGGCUAACUCCGUG
rnacentral:rRNA from 1 species